rnacentral:lncRNA from 1 species
UUUCUGUCCAUUUCAGGUUUGAAAAAUGAGACAAAACACAAUGAGGAAAGAACAAGUCUUAUUCACAGAACACUAACUGUUCCCUCUGAUCAGCGACUUGGUGGUGAGCUCCUGUACAACAAUAACACAACUAGUGACCUAGAGAGAAGUGACACACGAAACACAGAGCUGUGCAAACAUGAGAUUCUAGUAAGAGGGUCUGUGAGAAAACAGGUUCAAGAGUUUGAAAAGAAAUCUCAUAUAAGAAAUCUAUUCCAUGGCACUGCAACAGAUUCACCUAGAAAGUCGUCUUGUGAAAGUUCAAACAGCAGCAACAAAGGUGAAGCAGAUGCAGAACAACUGGAUACUUCACAUUCUGACCAGGAAGCUGAACCUGUUAAAAAACAACCUUCUUGUGAGGGUCCAGACGAUGUUCCCAGCAACGAGAAGAGUGAUGCAGAUGCAGAACAUCAGGAUCCUUCACAUUCUGACCAGGAAGUUGAGCCAGGUGGGGAUUUCACUGCUUUGAAUGCAGAGGCACCUGCUGCUCCCUCUGCUCAGCAACCUGUCAGUCCGUCCCACAAUGAUACUAAUAAGACAUCUACAUGUGAUGAUAAUAAAAAUAAUCAAACUGGCAAAGUUGAAGGCCAAAGUCAGAUGCCAUCAGAAGGAAAUGUCCAAGAACUUGUUUCAAAUUUUGUAAACAACCCAGACAAUCAAACAGAUACGAAACAGUCUUUUUGUGCAGAGACAAAACAACUAGAUCCUUUACAUCCUGAGCAGAGAAAUGAAGCAGGUUUGAAUAAUGAGGCACCUCAGAAUAAACACAUCAACCCCCUCAGUGAACCUGCUGCUCCAACUGCUCAGCAACCUGUCAAUCUGUCCCACGAUGAUACUAAUAUGACAUCUACAUGUGAUGAACCUUAUAAUAAAAAUGAUCAAACUGGAAAAGAAGAUGGUCAAAGUCAGAUGCCACCAGAAGGAAUUGUCCACAAACGUGUUUUAGAAUUUGAAUAUAUCCCAGACAAUCAAACAGGUAGGUUCUGUUUAAUCAUAGCAGUAUAUAAUCAUUUAAAUUUAAAUUUUAAUAUUUAAAUUAAAAAAUGUAUUAGUUUACAAAUGUUUUCUACAUUCAAUUUUUUGGGGGAGUUUAACUCAUCGGAGUUUGCAUUUCAUAAGUUCUCUUUCCUGUUUCAGAUCAACAAAAGCAGCUCCAUAAAGAUGGGGGUGAAGAACCUCCUGCAAAGGAAACAGUCAGAUAUCUGGGCACGCGGUUUCCAGCUGUGGGAACCAAGGAUACUACUGAACACAAUGAAGGUGCAGACUCUGAUCAGGUGACAGACGAAACUAAAGCGGAAAAUGUUGAACUGUCUGAAUGUGAGAAAAACAACGAUCCAAAUAAAAAAAGUCAAAUAAGAAAAGCA